rnacentral:rRNA from 1 species
ACUCCUACGGGAGGCAGCAGUGGGAAUAUUGCACAAUGGGCGCAAGCCUGAUGCAGCCAUGCCGCGUGUGUGAAGAAGGCCUUCGGGUUGUAAAUGCACUUUCAGUUGUGAGGAAAGGUUAGGUCGCUAAUAAUCGGCUAGCUGUUGACGUUAGCAACAGAAGAAGANACCGGCUAACGUCCUGCCAGCAGCCGCGGUAAUACGGAGGGUGCGAGCGUUAAUCGGAAUUACUGGGCGUAAAGCGCGUGUAGGUGGCUUGUUAAGCCAGAUGUGAAAGCCCG